rnacentral:rRNA from 1 species
AAUUAGUGGCAGACGGGUGAGUAAUGCAUAGGAAUCUACCUAGUAGUAUGGGAUAGCCACUAGAAAUGGUGGGUAAUACUGUAUAAUCCCUGCGGGGGAAAGAUUUAUCGCUAUUAGAUGAGCCUAUGUUAGAUUAGCUAGUUGGUAGGGUAAAGGCCUACCAAGGCAGUGAUCUAUAGCUGGUCUGAGAGGAUGAUCAGCCACACUGGAACUGAGACACGGUCCAGACUCCUACGGGAGGCAGCAGUGGGGAAUAUUGGACAAUGGGCGCAAGCCUGAUCCAGCUAUGCCGCGUGAGUGAGGAAGGCCUUAGGGUUGUAAAACUCUUUCAGUAGGGAAGAUAAUGACGGUACCUA